ACGAACGCUGGCGGCGUGCUUAACAUAUGCCAGUCGAACGGAAAGGCCCUGCUUUUGUGGGGUGCUCGAGUGGCGAACGGGUGAGUAACACGUGAGUAACCUGCCCUUGACCUUGGGAUAACUUCAGGAAACUGGGGCUAAUACCGGAUAGGAGCUCCUGCUGCAUGGUGGGGGUUGGAAAGUUUCGGCGGUUGGGGAUGGACUCGCGGCUUAUCAGCUUGUUGGUGGGGUAGUGGCUUACCAAGGCUUUGACGGGUAGCCGGCCUGAGAGGGUGACCGGCCACAUUGGGACUGAGAUACGGCCCAGACUCCUACGGGAGGCAGCAGUGGGGAAUAUUGCACAAUGGGCGGAAGCCUGAUGCAGCAACGCCGCGUGCGGGAUGACGGCCUUCGGGUUGUAAACCGCUUUCGCCUGUGACGAAGCGUGAGUGACGGUAAUGGGUAAAGAAGCACCGGCUAACUACGUG
rnacentral:rRNA from 1 species